GAUGAACGCUGGCGGCGUGCCUAAUACAUGCAAGUCGAGCGAACAGACGAGGAGCUUGCUCCUCUGACGUUAGCGGCGGACGGGUGAGUAACACGUGGAUAACCUACCUAUAAGACUGGGAUAACUUCGGGAAACCGGAGCUAAUACCGGAUAAUAUAUUGAACCGCAUGGUUCAAUAGUGAAAGACGGUUUUGCUGUCACUUAUAGAUGGAUCCGCGCCGCAUUAGCUAGUUGGUAAGGUAACGGCUUACCAAGGCGACGAUGCGUAGCCGACCUGAGAGGGUGAUCGGCCACACUGGAACUGAGACACGGUCCAGACUCCUACGGGAGGCAGCAGUAGGGAAUCUUCCGCAAUGGGCGAAAGCCUGACGGAGCAACGCCGCGUGAGUGAUGAAGGUCUUCGGAUCGUAAAACUCUGUUAUUAGGGAACAACAAAUGUGUAAGUAACUAUGCACGUCUUGACGGUACCUAAUCAGAAAGCCACGGCUAACUACGUG
rnacentral:rRNA from 1 species